GUGGGGAGGCCGAGGCCGGACGCAGGAUGCGGAGGGGCUCAGAGGCGCGAAGCCGCGACCCCUCCCCCGCCCCCCCCCCGGGGCCGCCCCCACACUGGGAAGUCUCCUUCCUUUGCCAAGGUCACGGAGGCUCCCGGGCCCGUAUUUGCUCAAGGGCCACGGGGCCUACGGGGCCAGAUUCGGCCCUUCCGGGGUCUUUCCCCAUUCUCAUGGUUCCCCUUCGCUAAAGUCCUUCUGGGGUCAGAGCAAGCUCGGCUCCCUGGGCUGGGGGAGGGGGCAGGGAGACAGAGGCGAGGGGUGAGAAACGAGCAUGCGCAGAGAAGAGGCGGGGCGGCGGGCGCAGGGAUAUCGCCGCAGAGGGUGAGACGGUUCCCCCUCCCUUUGUGUCUGGCUCGGCUCGCGCGUGCGGCCUCGGCCGGUUCUAACCGGCUGCAACCGCCCCUGGCCGCCCGCGGGUGCGGCGUGGAUUGGCGCACAGCCGACCGGACACUGGAGCUCAGUUUUCCAGGAGAGCCCAGAUCCAGCUGUCCCUGUGCUGCGUGGGGAGAGGCUCAGAAAUGUCCUCUGCCACCCAAAGGGCUCCUCCGCCCUGACAGCUGCCUGAAAGGGGCGUCCCUGGCUUGGGGCUUUCUCUGCUGAGGGUAAUUUUACCGAGACCCUCAGAGAACGCCGUCCCUGAAUCACCAUCUUUGUCUUUCUCGCAUCGGAAUGCUCUCCAGUUGCUCUUCUCGGAUUGCAUCAUGGGUCCCUUCUCAGAAUUUCCUUGUCUGAACUAGCCGGACCCAAGCUCCUCAUUGCGUUCCUUUAUUAUAUUAUAUUAUAUUAUUAUAUCCCUCGCUCCUCAAGGGGGCUUUCAAUCAUGUUUCAGAAGCUACUUUUUUAAAAUUAGUUUUUAUUUAGUAUCUUUUUUAAAAUGUCCUUAUAGAAUACCCCAGUUAGCCCUUCCCUACUCCUUCCCAGAGCUCAUCCCAUUUAACAACUAGUAUUUUUAAAGACCAAAAAAAGGGGAAAAAAAAUCAGGAUGGCUGAUAAUUCAUCAGAAUGCACUGCACGAUCAUGGUUGACCUCCAGACUCCUUCAAAGAGCUGAGCAGGCGCCUGCUCUCCCAUCUUUCUCAUUCCCAUCUUUUUUCCCAGUCCAUGUUUUUGUCUCAUUACAGUUUGGAUCCAUGGGGCUCUCUGGUUUUUUCCAUUUCCAUUCACCUCGUCACAAAGAGACUGUCUUAAUAUUUUCUCGGCUCAGCCGACUUAGGUUCAUCCCAUCUAUCACUUCCCAGAGCCCAGGAAAAUUCCGUGACAUUGCUAGACCAGUAUUCGGUUACCCAUUCCUCAGACAAUGGGCACCAGAAGCACUACGGAAGCCUUUCCCAUUCGCCUUGGGAUGGCUUUAGCCUCACAAAUCCUCCCUUUUAUGCCCACUAAAGUCCAUCUCCUCAUCCCCCAUCACCACGACCUAUUUCAGGCUUUGAUCUCACUUUUCCCGAACUCUUGUCUUCUAUCCUUAAUGUCCCCCAGGGCGUUUAUAGGGGCCCUUUCAGGGACCCUAGUCCAAUCCCAAUCAGUUCCUACAAGGUCUGAUUCAAAACAAAACAAAACAAAAAAAACAAAACUUUAGUCUCAAAAGUUCAGUUCAAUGCUGUCGGGCCCACUUAGGAGUCUACUAAGUCUCUUUACAGAAAGAACUUAUGUUUCUACAACACAGACUCGGGAAACUCAGAUGAGUUUCUAGCCCUCCCUCUCAUUCUUCCUGGCCUCAUUCUCCAAGAGGUAAAGAGCUUUUCCAGAAUUCAGAAAUUGCCCCCACAGGGGAAUGGGCCAAGUCCUAAAGCAAUGAGCCUCCAAGUGGAGCUUGGAGGACUUGGUGGGUUCGUUUUCCAGAGCAUUCGGGGGAAGACAUGGGCCCUGUCCCACACUGAGUCUGGAUCUGGGGUGGCUGGGAAUGUCUGCAAGGAUUCGCUCCAGCUCUUAGGCUAAAAAGGAGGCUGAAGGGGGGCUGCGAGUAAGGGCGGCUUUGAGGAGGACCGCGGUGGGGGAGGGGUAGCCCACAGGUGGCCCAUCAGGGAGCAGGAAAUGGGCCCUGGAUGCUGCUGUCUCCUUCCCAAGGCGCAGCUGCAAGUGAUGAAAAGUCAAGUGUUCACUGGGCCUGGGCCCCUACAAUGGACUCUUUGUGGAUGCCCCCGUGUCUGCCAGGACCCGCUUCCACCCUCUGCCCACCUCGGCCCCUUCUCCAGCCCCAGCCCAGAGUUUGGGGAGCCCGUUUCUCUGAAGAACAAGGAGAAGCUUCGAGCUU